GGUUUGAUUCCCACGGCUCUGUGUGUGCGGAGUUUGCUGUUCUCCCCGUGCUGCGGUGGUUUCCUCCGGAUACUCCGAUUUCCUCCCCCAGUCCAAAGACAUGCAUGGCCGUGAUCCCAGCCAUUCCACUGGACCUCAGGGUUUCUGCAAACAUUUCCCAAAUAGCAAACUGCACUGUGCCAAGCAGCGGGCAGAGCCCGAGCAUCUGUUUCAGCCCUGCUUCAGGGUCACCAUAGCCAGAGUGAAUGCUGAAGGGCCUUCGUAGGAGCCGUGUCCACUGGCAGGUGCUUUUACUCAGUCAGAGUCAGAAUCCAAGUCAAGCCUCAAGCUGAUCUAAGGGCUCAGCAGUGGCUCUCUGGCGCUCAUGGGAUUUUCACUCGAUGCCUUCCGGUUAUUAGCUUCCAGUAUCCAGAUGAUACCCGACGGUGAGCUGACUAUGAAGUCCUGACUGACCUCACCUGUCUGAUCAGAUCUUCUGAACUAUUGUGGUCUAACACCAUUAUUCUUGGUUUCUUCUGAAUUAAUGGCUCAUGCUGUGUCUCUUGGUUUCAGUUGCA
ensembl:lncRNA